rnacentral:tmRNA from 1 species
AUAACUGGCAACUACAAUGUAGCUCUCGCCGCUUAAUCGAAGUAUAGUAGAUUAGCUUAGCGUCGGUACAAGGUACUGACCCGAGACGUCACUCCAAGCCGAGUCUGUGGGCUGAAUGGGUAUAGUGGCGCGGAAAUUCACAGAAUAGGUGUCGCAGGCUGCGAUGCGAUGCUGAAGAUUUAGCAGAUAAGGCGAUAGUUGGUGGCUUGGGUCUUGCUAUCGCACGAAAAUCAAGGCCAAGAUAAGCGUGUAGAAAGCAUAUUGGUUCCUUGUUUGGACGCGGGUUCGACUCCCGCUAUCUCCACUG